CAUUCGGAAAUUUAAAAUAAAUAAAAUAAUUUUUGGGCUUUAAACUAAUUAGAAAAUUACCAUGAAUUAAUUGAGUUAAGUAGGUAAUAAUAAUAAUAAUAAUAUAUAUAUAUAUAAAAAAAAAAGAAAUUAAAUACCCAAACUCAAAAAUCAGAAACCCACUUUCUCUUUCCCCUUUUCCCUUCCCUUCCCCUUCUCCUCCCUUCUCCUUUCUUCUUUUUCCUUCCAUUCGCAUAAACCCAAAUCUCAAGAAACAUCACACUCUAUUAAACACCUUAAAAUCUCAAGAACCAUUAUCCUCCUUCUUCCUUGAAUCUUCGAAGGAUUUGGGCUGCGAAAGACCAAUUGAUUUUCCUUCUUUCGUGAUUUCAUUUAAGAAGUGAUAUAGCAAUCGAAACUUUCCUCCCUUGCCUCUGAAUUCUGCGGAAAUAGGGGGAAAUCGAGUGAAGCUUGGUCUUGUUGAUUAGGCAUCGAAAUUUCAAGCCGAAAAUCAAUUGUUUUGAAUCUGAUUCUCUGUUUAUUCCUUACUGCUGUCAAACAGAAGGAUACGACUACUUCGAUGAACCCUUCAAGUGAUCGUGGUGUACCAGACUUAGCUUCUUGAAGCAGCGUUAUCUUUUGUCUACAGAUCGGAACUGGUCGGGAACGAUGGGUUAGCGGUGUUGAAUAGCAUUCCAAGGAUGUAUAUGAGCUGAGCAUGUUAGAGUUUUGUAGUUUUGUACUAAGCUUUGGAAAUGUAUUAGUCUAGCCUGUAUUGGUUAUGUUGGACGUUUAUAGAGACUUUUAUGAUCACUGUAUGUAUGAGAUAGAUGUUUGGAUUGAGAAUUAGUUGGUUUAGUUAUGAUUUAGAACUAAAGACUCUUUGCGCAAGUUUUGGGAUUGAGAUUCGAGGUUUUUGGGAAACAGACCCCGUGAUGACCCUGUUUACCUAGUCAACGGUAAGUCGGGUUGUUACACGAUAUGUCAACAAAAGAACAAAAAAAAUCUUCAUAUUUCGAAAAAGUAAACAUGAACAAGCAUGAAGAAUUUUAUACAUGACCAAACAUAAGAACAAGUAAAAACCAAAAAACAGCAAAAAAAAUUACAUAAAUUCAAAUGAAAUAGUCGUAUUAUUAUUGAAAUUUCAUUAGUCGUUUCUAACAUCUAUUUUUUUUUAAUAAUUGGUCAUUACUAAUUAAAAUUUAAUUAGUGAUGGUAGUAAUUUGAAAAAUAUCUACGACGACUAAAAACUUAUCAACUCGUAACGUAGUUAUGAAGUGUAACAAGUAACGUAAACUUUGAAGGUAAAACUUAAAGUUGAGCAACUACCCAUAACGUUUCGGGAUAAUUAUAAUACUUACUUGAAAACUUUAUUUACCCAUGUUGAGAAUAAAUUAAAUAUUUCAUAAACAUAUACAAUUGAUUUUUAAACAUGAAUUACAUGUUAGAUAACUUGUUACAUGUACAACAAUUUUUAUCCAAAUCUUAAACUAUCUUAGAUAAACCUUUCUUACACCAUAAUAAACCAAAUUGAGGACAAACACCACCUCAAAUCAGCCCCAAACAGCAGCCCCAUAUGGCUAUCACGUACCCCUUUUAGCUCUUUCUAUACUUAUACACUCAAGCAAAUUGUUCUAUUCAAAACCCCCUUUGUUCUACCCAAAGCUUGUGCGCCAUUAUAAGCAUGCAAGAGGCAAAUAUAAGAAGCAAAAACACUUCAUUUUCAGACCAUUUUAUUCAGCCAUAAUCCCCAACAAAUUGCUCCCAAAUUCACCAAGAACAAACACUAGAAUCCUUCAAAGUUUCAACUACUAUAACACCUUCUUUUCUAAUCAAAUCUUCUUCAAAAACCCAUCUAAAACUUCUGAAAAUUUAUGAUAAAAUCAAAUCUCCCAUAAAAAUAAUCUUUAUCUUAAGGACUUUCUAUGGACAUCAAACUUGAAGAAAUCCACCAAGUAUAAAGU